rnacentral:rRNA from 1 species
GUGGGGAAUCUUCCGCAAUGGACGAAAGUCUGACGGAGCAACGCCGCGUGAGUGAAGAAGGUUUUCGGAUCGUAAAGCUCUUUCGUUAGGGACGAACGUGCUCUUUGUGAAUAAUGAGGAGUAAUGACGGUACCUAAAUAAGAAGCCACGGCUAACUACGUGCCAGCAGCCGCGGUAAUACGUAGGUGGCAAGCGUUGUCCGGAAUUAUUGGGCGUAAAGCGCGCGCAGGCGGGAUAUCAAGUCUGUCUUAAAAGUGCGAGGCUCAACCUCGUGAGGGGACAGAAACUGGGAUUCUUGAGUGGCGGAGAGGAAAGUGGAAUUCCAAGUGGAGCGGUGAAAUGCGUAGAGAUUUGGAAGAACACCAGUGGCGAAGGCGACUUUCUGGACGAUGUCUGACGCUGAGGCGCGAAAGCUAGGGGAGCGAACGGGAUUAGAAACCCGUGUAGUCC